GCUUCUCUCUCUCUCUCUCUCUCGGCUCUCUCGUCUUCACGCCGCCGGUGCUCUCUAAUCCCAUUAGUUGAGCCGCUUAAACACACCUCGACCACGCUACCCUGUCCUUCCCUAUGUAUCUCUCUCGGUCGCUGGCUAGAAGAAAGAACCCUGGGAGUGUCGAUUGUGCCGCCAUUGAUAUGUCUGAGCUUGGCAGUUAUUGGUUUGAUUUUGUUUGGAAAUUUUGGCUCUCUUUCCUUCUUUGUGACUCUCUCUCCGUCAAUCGGAUGUUAGCAUGGAGGUGGGACUGUGGGGAUGGUGUUGUAACGGUAGGGACUUCAAUGGGACUAGGGUACCGUCGCCGUGAAGAAAAUGGUUUAUUUUGUUUACAUCCCCACUUAUCUAAAAUGGUAAUGAUGAAUUUUUAUUCUUAGGCAUCAUCUUUGAUUAAUUUUUAAAAUAAUUAUUAUAUAUUGUUUCUGUUUUAGGGAUUUAUGCAAUUUUUAAUAUGAAUUAUUGAUGAUGUUUCUAUUAACUAUAGGUUUGGUUUGUUUAAGGAUUUUGGAUUACUAAAUUUGGUGACUUUGAGGUUUGUGGAUAUGCCGCUAGCUUUGGGUAUUCUAUUUUUUAUAUUGGUUUUAGAUUUAGAGUUUCUGUUUUUUAGAGUUUUCUCAGUAUGUUGUUGAAGGCAACUUUUCUUGAUUUGCCUUUAUGGCAUCACAUUCUUGUUCUUAAAGUCCUGAGGGUAAUUCUGGAAGUGGAAACAUACUCUUUAUUUAUGUAGUAUGUGCGACAUAGAAGAUUAUGGUAGAGCCUUGUAAAGCUGUUUGAAUAAUUACAAAGGUGGAACUUUGACAGGGUUUUUGUUUGGAGGCACGAACUUUGCGGAUUCUCUUCUAGAACUUUGAUAUGCAUCCCAAGAACACCAAUAUUGUUGAGGGCCUGGUUAAGGCUCUGGCUAGAGUUGUUUCAAGUAUACAUGGUCAAGAGACUAGUGAGGAGAGCCUGGCAGUUGUUGCAGGGAUGUUCAGCAGCAAA